rnacentral:misc_RNA from 1 species
CCUCACAGCAUUCGUUUGAUGGCCGCGUGUAAACUGGUCGAAGAGUAGUAAGUUGGUAGAUUUCAUAGCACAAUAAACAGCCGGUAGGGGUGACCAUCCAACUGACUCGCUGUUCCGUACACCGUGUGCUGUCAACUUGUCGAUCUUAUUAUGUCUCUGUGUAUAUAUACAUGUAAUACAUAAAUAUAUAUAUCAUAUAUAUAUAUAUAUAUAUAUAUAUAUAUAUAUGCACACAUAUCUCUAUAUUUCAAAUCAGUGGAUUGUACAGAUGUACAGCUAUGAGCCAGUAAGCCAGACAAGUAAACCAGUGGUAUUUACACAAAUACCUCAUACAAGCAUACACACGGUUGUUGACGAGUUUCCAAGCGUAGUUCUUCCUAGUUGAGACUUCGAGCUAGUUCUGUAUGAAGGGACCAGAUGACAACCAUUAACCUCCUGAUGCCCAUAACACUGUAGUUAUGCCUCGCCGAAAAUCAGCAGAAAGCCUAAAGAAGCAAUGCCUUCACAGCAUUGCUUUUAACAUGGACAAGAUGUUGAGCUCGGAUUUCUAUUCUAGUUUCCCAGUGGGUCCGCGUCUCUACUAUGUUAUCGGACCAUUUAGCUGCCUCACCACUGAGAUGACACAAGACCUGAUCAACAUUCUCUCAGAGCAACGACUGCUGAAACGACAUCAUCUGCAAGUAUUGAUCUGCACUCACUUGAAACAGCUGCAGUUAGAUGUGUGUGGUUCUAUAGCCAAUCAUGACAGUGUUGCACGUAUGGUUGGUGUUAGGUGUCAGACUCUAACAAAGUUAAACUUGUCAUCUCUGAACAAUAUUUCAACUAAGAUCUUGGUUGAUCUCAUCUAUAAUGUACCACAGAUCCAGUCCCUUGUAUUACAGAACACCAAAUGUAAUGACCAAGUGAUGUCAGUUAUUGGUCGAACUUGCUGUCACCUCCGUGAGCUGAAUGUCUUCAAUUGUCCUGUUACUGAUUCUGGCGCCUUCGGCUUAUGCGUGAAAAACUCUGCUGCUGGUGGUGUACCAAAUUGUUCCCAGCUUGUCAGCCUGGACAUUAAUGCAACAGCAGUAAGCCUGAAUGGUGCCAGUACCAUCUUGCAGAAUUUACAUCACCUGAAAUAUUUCCAGUAUUGUGACGUGUGUGCUGUUUUUGAAAAACUUUAUCUUGACAGUCUUCGGUUUGGCUCUUCAUUUGUUGCCAGCCAGAACCGUGCUUAUCGUACUCAACAGCUAGCUAAUAGUGAUUCAUCAUCAGUAGGUCCGUUAGAAGGAAACAAAGACACCAAUGCAUCAUUCAUUAGCUUACUGAGCACAGUUGAAGAUGGCAAUGGGAACAAAGACGCACAUGAGGAUAAGUCAGAAAAUGUCAAUGAUGCUGUUAGAAGUAAAAUAGCCAUGACAGCUCAUACCAAAAGCAACAGUUUGAAUAUUGUUGAGAGUAAGCGUAAGUAUUGUAUCAACUCUCUGACUGCAACAGGACUAAAGUGCUCUCUAGUUACUGCCCAAAGUAUCAAAAUAGCCUGUGAAGUAUGUCCAUAUGUAACUGAGGUGUACCUUCAUCAGAACAUUGGUAAUAAAGGUAUGGUUCACCUGACACAACUCUCACAAUUACAUGUUCUUGAAGUUGUCAGUUGUGCACCAGAUCCCAUAACAUUCGAAGAAGGUCUUGUGCCUGUUCUGCGCAAGGCUGGCCCUACGUUAUCACGCCUCACUCUGUAUGAUUUUUCUGAUAUUGACAUUAUUCGAAUUGGGCAAUACUGCCCUCAGCUUCAUUAUCUUAAUUUAGAGUCAUCAAUGUGUGACUUUAUUGAUUAUGAUAUGAAUGUUUUGAAGAAGUUCAUUGUGAAAAAUGGUAGCUUUCCUCCGUGGCAGGCCAUGAAGUGUGCCAAUAUUCACAAUGAUAAUCCGCACACAAAUAAAUUGUGGACAAGACAGUCAGUGGGUAGCAAAGCAGGGUCUGCUUCACUUGGUUCUCCUUAUGGUAACCAAGAUGACCGGGCGUCUCGAUGUCAGGAUGAAAAUAACAGAGUCGGACUUUUUGCUCACAUUAGAAGCUUACGAAUAAUAUUACUCAGUGAGACGCAUAACUUUCCUGCAGAUGUACUACGACUAAUCUUAAUCAAUGCAGAGAAUUUGAUCCAUCUGCAUCUAACAAACAUGCAGUUUCUCACUCACAACCUGCUUAUUUCAGUCCUGAUGCACAACCCGCUGUGUUUCUUACAGACUCUCCUCUUGGAAAUGUGUAAUGGGGUUGAUCGGGACUUUGUGAUGCGCCUACUGACUGAUGAACAGAAUGGUCUGCGCAGACUUGAUCUGAUCGAGUGCCAGAGUAUAACUAGGCGGGAUUUCGAACACUUUCUAGACCGGGUGCGCCAAGAUAAUGUUGAUGUGACAAUAACUUGGAUGUGAUUUGUUGCAAACACUCUGUAUAAAGUUACAUGAAAAUAUAUAAAUAAAUGUACACACACACACACACACACACACACACACACACACACACACACACA